GGGUUGUGAGGUUAAGCGACUAAGCGUACACGGUGGAUGCCCUGGCAGUCAGAGGCGAUGAAGGGCGUGCUAAUCUGCGAUAAGCGCCGGUAAGGUGAUAUGAACCGUUAUAACCGGCGAUACCCGAAUGGGGAAACCCAGUGUGAUUCGUCACACUAUCAUUAACUGAAUCCAUAGGUUAAUGAGGCGAACCGGGGGAACUGAAACAUCUAAGUACCCCGAGGAAAAGAAAUCAACCGAGAUUCCCCCAGUAGCGGCGAGCGAACGGGGAGGAGCCCAGAGCCUGAAUCAGCAUGUGUGUUAGUGGAAGCGUCUGGAAAGGCGCGCGAUACAGGGUGACAGCCCCGUACACAAAAGCGCAUGUGCUGUGAGCUCGAUGAGUAGGGCGGGACACGUGGUAUCCUGUCUGAAUAUGGGGGGACCAUCCUCCAAGGCUAAAUACUCCUGACUGACCGAUAGUGAACCAGUACCGUGAGGGAAAGGCGAAAAGAACCCCGGCGAGGGGAGUGAAAAAGAACCUGAAACCGUGUACGUACAAGCAGUGGGAGCACAGGUUUACCUGUGUGACUGCGUACCUUUUGUAUAAUGGGUCAGCGACUUAUAUUCUGUAGCAAGGUUAACCGUAUAGGGGAGCCGAAGGGAAAC
rnacentral:rRNA from 1 species